UACGUAGGUGGCGAGCGUUGUCCGGAAUUACUGGGUGUAAAGCGCGCGUAGGCGGGAUGCCAAGUCCGCUGUGAAAUCGCCCGGCUCAACUGGGCGCGGUCGGUGGAAACUGGUCACCUGGAGGACGGUAGAGGCGAGUGGAAUUCCCGGUGUAGUGGUGAAAUGCGUAGAGAUCGGGAGGAACACCAGUGGCGAAGGCGGCUCGCUGGGCCGGCCCUGACGCUGAGGCGCGAAGGCGUGGGGAGCGAACGGG
rnacentral:rRNA from 1 species